rnacentral:rRNA from 1 species
AGAGUUUGAUCCUGGCUCAGAUUGAGCGCUGGCGGAAUGCUUUACACAUGCAAGUCGAACGAUGAUCCUUUUCUUGCUAUGGGGAUGAGUGGCGAGCGGGUGAGUAAUAUAUCGGAGCCUGCCUUGGGGUGAGGGAUAACUAAACCAAUCAUUACCUCCUACCGCCCACCCCCGGAGGGGAAAAGAAGGGGAUCUUCUGACCUUACGUUAUAAGAGCGGCCGAUAUCUGAUUAACUAGUUGGUGGGGUAAUGGCCUACCAAGGCGACGAUCAGUAGCUGGUCUGAGAAGACGACCAUCCACACUGGAGCUGAGACGCCGCCCACACUCCUACGGGAGGCAGCAGUGGGGAAUUUUGGACUGUGGGCGCAAGCCUGAUCCCGCCAUUCCGCGUGAGGGAAGAAGGCCUUCUGGUUGUAAAUCUCUUUCGCAAGGGAAGAAAACUUACUUUCUAAUAAAGAGUGGGGCUGACGGUACCUUGAUAACAAGCACCGGCUAACUACGUGCCGGCAGCCGCGGUAAUACGUAGGGUGCGAGCGUUAAUCGGAAUUAGUGGGCGUAUAGCGUGCGCAGGCGGUUUGGCAAGACAGAUGUCAACUCCCCGCGCUCAACUUGGGAACUGCGUUUAGAACUGCCAGAUUAAAAUAUGUCAGAGGGGGGUAGAAUUCCGCGUGUUGCCGUGAAAUGCCUAGAGAGGUGAAGGAAUCCCCACUGGGGAAGGCAGCCCCCUGGGAUAAUAUGGACGUUCAUGCACGAAAGCGUGGGGAGCAAAACAGGAUUAGAUACCCUGGUAGUCCACGCCCUAAACGAUGUCUACUAGUUGUUGGGGGAGUAAAAUCCAUGAGUAACGCAGCUAACGCGUGAAGUAGACCGCCUGGGGAGUACGGUCGCAAGAUUAAAACUCAAAGGAAUUGACGGGGGCCCGCACAAGCGGUGGAUUAUGUGGAUUAAUUCGAUGCAACGCGAAAAACCUUACCUGGCCUUGACAUGCCACUAACGAAGCAGAGAUGCAUUAGGUGCCCGAAAGGGAAAGUGGACACAGGUGCUGCAUGGCUGUCGUCAGCUCGUGUCGUGAGAUGUUGGGUUAAGUCCCGCAACGAGCGCAACCCUUGCCGUUAAUUGCCAUCAUUUAGUUGGGCACUUUAAUGGGACUGCCGGUGACAAACCGGAGGAAGGUGGGGAUGACGUCAAGUCCUCAUGGCCCUUAUGGCCAGGGCUUCACACGUAAUACAAUGGUCGGUACAGAGAGUUGCCAAGCCGCGAGGUGGAGCUAAUCUCAGAAAGCCGAUCGUAGUCCGGAUUGUUCUCUGCAACUCGAGAGCAUGAAGUCGGAAUCGC